GACGAACGCUGGCGGCGUGCUUAACACAUGCAAGUCGAGCGGUAAGGCCCUUUCGGGGGUACGACGAGCGGCGAACGGGUGAGUAACACGUGGGUGACCUGCCCUCAGCUCUGGGAUAAGCCUGGGAAACUGGGUCUAAUAACUGGAUAUGACUCCACGGUACAUGUCGUGGGGUGGAAAGCCUUGUGCGGCUGAGGAUGGGCCCGCGGCCUAUCAGCUUGUUGGUGGGGUGAUGGCCUACCAAGGCGACGACGGGUAGCCGGCCUGAGAGGGCGACCGGCC
rnacentral:rRNA from 1 species